UUGGACGUUUGCCGUCGCCCACCUGCACCCCUUUUCAGUCGGGCGUCAACUUGGCCAGAAUCGCGCCCCAAUCACGCACCGGUAAUUAAGAUGAGCAAAAAUCAUGGCAUCAUCAAAGGUAUGUAAUGGUCGCAGAAGAUAUCACGUUCCAGAUAUGUACAGAAAUCGCCCCUCAUAAACAAUCAUAUCAAUCUCAAUGCGCCUCGGUCUCGCUUUCCUCCGCGGCAGCCCUUCCCAGAGCACCGCCCCUGCUUCAUGAAUCGGCAGGUCGCCGUCACGCGCCGCCACGCCAUAUCCGGAGCUGGCCGAGCUCCCGGCGGCCGCUGCGCCGAGUACCCACACCGGCCGGCCUAGAUCCACUUGCGGCUGCAGUUAGCUUUAACGAAGACGAGCACCUACUACAUGCGCCCCAUGCUCCUCCCUCCAUUCUUCUACGCUGAUGCUCCCAAGAGAGCGUGCUGCACUGGAGCCAUUAUAUCGCCUCCAAUAUAAACCAGGAGAAGGACAUGUUCAUGGGAAAAGGGAAAUCCGGAUCUAUUAUUUUAGCUUGUGAAUAAUGAGGAAUCUUGCUUUACUCUCUGUAUCACUAUCAUCAAACUGAUCAUCUCCUACUACAAAGGAUGAAACAAGGUUCAAGUGGAUUUUAUUUUGAAAGUUAUAUUUCUACACAUUGGUGCAUGUUCUAUCAAAUGAUCUCUUGGAUGAAUACUUUUGAAACAAUGGUACAACCAAAACCAAGGUAUACAUCAAACUAACAUGUUCUAUUUAUUUUAGGGCGUUGCAACGCUCAGACACUUUUGUUAUUUUAAUAAUAAAAGCAAUAAGGCAUCUCCUUGUCCGUUUUUCUCUCCCAUUCCACCCCUAUGGACAUCGUCCCUGGCUACUUCCUCUCCGGCGCCCUGCCCCGCCACCAUCCUCCCUGUUGAGCCGCCUGCCACCUUCUUCUCCACAGCGCCUUGCGCCUCCCCUAGCCUCCCGCACAUCCCCAGAGAGUUCACUCCACGUGCAGACUCCCGAAUGGCGACCCUGCAGACGAAUCGGUGUGGAGGUGUGGCUUGAGAGGCAACCCUGCAGACAAAUCGGUGUGGAGGGGUGACUCAAACGGCGAUCUUGCCUUCCAGCGUGCCGCCCGCUCGCAUCCAGCGACAUUACAGGCGGUGGAGCAGGGGAGUUCAUCAGUUAGCGUCGUCCCUUCCCCAUACACUCCGGUAAGAUACGGGCGCCGAAGAUACGGUAAGAUACAGGGACCUCCGUCGUCGGUGGAUCCGGCCUCAAAGCGGCAGGAUCUCUUCUCCAAGGAGCACCAAUCCACCCCCUAUGCUCUCGGUUUGCGGUUUUUUUUAAAAGAAAUUCUAUAUACUUUUAUCAUCUCAAAAUUCAGUAAAGAGUAUUGAAAGCUGUAGUUUUCACGUGGGUUUUCAUCCAAGUGGCUGAUCAGUACUAAUUUCUGACUAAUGACCUGUGACACAUUCUAGGAUAAGUUAGUGAUUAGUUGUAUUUGCAACUGGAUAAUGAAUGUGGCAUGCCACAAAUGGAAUGGCUAUUCAAAUUAAAACAUCGCUUUCUUUCAUGUGUGCAACAGUAUAGGUGUUCAUAUUUUUUCUUCACCUCUCUUAUAUAUCAUGUGCUGUUUAUUAUGUAGUAUAGAACAACUCUUCUAUUUAUAAUUUGGAAUGAUACAUAUCUGGUAGGAUCUAUGCUGCUAAGAAUCAGAUUGUUGCCUCAUUUUGACAUUUCCCAAAGAGUUGUGCUAAAUUAUCUUUUUCUGGGCAUCCUUAAUCAAUUCUUUGUUGAAGUGUAUCCUCUAACGUGGUGGUUGUACAAUUUCCAGUGGCUUGCCGCUAAAUUAUUGGUGCUGACCUCUUAAAUU